rnacentral:rRNA from 1 species
CCUACGGGAGGCAGCAGUGGGGAAUUUUGGACAAUGGGCGCAAGCCUGAUCCAGCCAUGCCGCGUGCGGGAAGAAGGCCUUCGGGUUGUAAACCGCUUUUGUCAGGGAAGAAAAGGUUCUGGAUAAUACCUGGGACUCAUGACGGUACCUGAAGAAUAAGCACCGGCUAACUACGUGCCAGCAGCCGCGGUAAUACGUAGGGUGCAAGCGUUAAUCGGAAUUACUGGGCGUAAAGCGUGCGCAGGCGGUUAUGCAAGACAGAGGUGAAAUCCCCGGGCUCAACCUGGGAACUGCCUUUGUGACUGCAUAGCUAGAGUACGGUAGAGGGGGAUGGAAUUCCGCGUGUAGCAGUGAAAUGCGUAGAUAUGCGGAGGAACACCGAUGGCGAAGGCAAUCCCCUGGACCUGUACUGACGCUCAUGCACGAAAGCGUGGGGAGCAAACAGGAUUAGAUACCCUGGUAGUCCACGCCCUAAACGAUGUCAACUGGUUGUUGGGAGGGUUUCUUCUCAGUAACGUAGCUAACGCGUGAGUUGACCGCCUGGGGNGGACGGCCGCGAGUAGUUAACGUUACUAAGUUAGUUAGUAGNGGCGNGNGAGNGCGACGGACGACGACGAGGGAGGAGG